GGGGAACAAGUUGUUUAGAGUAAAUGCCCAAUUAAUAGAUAUCUGACAAUCCUAAUAGAAGCUUCCAUGUGUGAAGCCUUGGGAUGUUGCAUCAAUUGACUAAGACACUGAACAACAAAGCUGAAAUCAGGUCUAAUCACUGUUACGUAUAACAAUCUCCCUAUAAGUUUUUAAUAUUGUCACGACCCAAAGUACAUCCUAGUCGUAACAUGGCGUAUAGGACCUCGAGAGACCCAAUACAAGUCACUUAGCAUACAUAUACAAGAUAAUAGAAUCUUAAAGAGUUCAAAAGACAUUUGAAUCAUAAAGAGUUCCAUCAAAAACAGAAGUCUAACAUAAGUCUCAAAGCCACUAUUGGAAAGUGAUUGAAACGUAACCCAUACAUCACAAUAUGAAAUGAAAAGAUUUGAAAGCAAUAAAGAAUCUUGGUCCUCGGAACAUGAGGACUCACCAAUCUUCAAUGUCUAUAUGGGAUCACUGGCCACGAGUGUGCGGAAUGGAAGCGUCGGACCCUACAUUAGUGAAACAAUGUAGGCACAAGUAUGCAUUAGUACAUGGAAUGUACUAAGUAUGAUAACAAUGCAUAAAGAGUAAUGAAAUCUUGCUAAAAGGGACUUUAUAUGACAUGCAAUGAUCAAGCUAAAUCAUAAAAUAACAUGUUAGAAGACAUAAGUCGAAAUCAUGGUCAAUGCAAGCUAAACAUCUUUAAAACACAUUUGAGAUACUUCUAGAAGUAACCUUAGUUCAUUCUUGUGGGAAGUUUGCCAUUAACUGACAUAGACCAUGUGAGCUAUAACAUGGAAUCUAGUGUCUAUUCCACAUCGAAAAGAGAUGUCCUUACUUGCCAAGGUAAGAACCAUAAACUUCUAGCUUAGGUGGAUCCACUAGCUAAUCUCUAUCUAAGACAACCUAUGGUGACACAUAGUUAUGUGAUAGGGAGAUUGCUACUAGAAACCCAGCCUCAACUAUGGGAGAGCUUCCAUCUUGAUAUCCUCUCGGUGCUAAUUAAGCAUAAAUCCCACGGAAUAGUCAUUAAUCUUAACUUAUCUUAUUAUCCAUGGAAGGGCACAUGAAGUAGCCAAUCAAAGCUAGAAUUCAUUAUAGCCAAUCCUAGGUGAGAAAACCUUUCAACCUUGUGAAUCAUUUAUGUGAGCAAAUCCUUUCACAAUAACUUCAUAUGUGAGAAAUCCUUUCACAACAACAAUUCAUAAAGAAACAUGCAUAUCUUCAUAAAUUCAUCUUUCAUAUUUCAAAAGCUUCAUCAUAUAAUCAAAAUCCAGAAAAUUAUGGAUCAUGCAUGGGUUCAAUUGCAUUGAACUUAAAAACAUGUAGUUAUCUCAAUUCAUGCAUAAAAAUACAUAAAACAAUCAAUUGGAUCAUAAUUGAGAGCAACCCAUGAAAUUGAAUAAAACCCUAAUUUCAAUUGGAGAACUCUAACUUGUAAUAUUGGAGAAUUUAGGAACCUUAUGGAGGAAAGAACUCCACAGGUGAAUACUAUCAUACCUUGAUGUCAAAAACCCCCAAUCAAUGGUGAAUUUGGAGACUGGAUCCUGAAACCCUAGACUAGUUUAUCAAACAUAUCAAGCCUAUUUAAGAAUGACAAGAAGGUACAUCUAUUAAUUGCCUGUGUAGACUUUGGCCUAUUCAAGAAUGACAAGAAACAACAUGCAUUAAUUAGUUUUUGUACAUUUCGGGUUACCUAAAAUGUUAACAAUAACAUACUUUUUGCAGUCUUCCAACUGGGAUCUUUGAAGGGUAGGAUGUAAGCAGAUCUUACCUCUACCUUCGUAAGUCAGAGACUAAAAAACUCUCGAUUCAAAAGGAAAGUACCUAGGAUACAAAAGAAAUGUAACAAUAAGAGGUUACCUAAAUGUUACUGAUGGUAAUCGUCCAUAAAAUACAAUAAGUUAAAUGCAAUCAUGUAUAGUUGGCUCAUCACUUCGUUUGAGUUGGAUGUUGGUUUGCAACCAUUGCAGGAAGAAUCAGUACUAAGUAAUUAGGAAAAGGAAAUUGAACAGAUAGAGCAACAACAAAAUACAUGUUUUAUCGCAAAUACUUCUUAACUAAAUCAAUCAACAAAGAAAAUAAAAACAACAUUCAGCUGCAAAAUUCUCUUUUGUAUUCAGAUUGCAUAACGACAAUCACAAGAAGCUCAGCUCAAAAACAUAAAAAACUGAAUUGUAUCGCAACUUCAAGCAACAUGAGAAAUUGUAGCUAUAACUUAUAGAACAACCUUGAAUUCCUUAAAAUACCUAUAGAAAUAACCUAUUAUAAUCAAGAAACUCGCCUUGAAACUAUAUACUCAAGUGAAAUCCUCACUAACCACAUAACUGAAAAGUAGCAAUAAGAUGAUUUUCAGUUCACUCGAGUAGCCAACAUGUCUAUAGAUAUGAUUGCACAAGUGUAUAAACAAAUUCGUAACAAUGACCACGAUUUAAUUUUCUGACUGUUCUUCCCUCAUUUCAAACAAAUCAUACUAAUUACUCCCAAACUCCAAAAAAAAGAAAACAAUCAAACCAUGUAAAGACAAAAGCAUAAAGUACCUGUAACAAUUAGCAAAGUUCAAAAAAAAAAAUUCAAUUACAAUACUUAGAAACCAGUAGAACACGAAUUGAAAAUAUUGAUUCUUAAUUUCAGCUUCAAUUCUACAAAAAUUGAAACAAGUAGAAAUAGGAAUUACUUAACAAAUCAUAUAUAUAAAUAUAUCAAAAUAUAUUAAAAACUCGAAGAGAUUUAACUCGAAGCUCCAAUUCUCCUUCAGAAAUUCAUACUAAGAACAACUCUUCUUUCACACACACAUACACUAUCAUAGAAGGUUGUGAACGUGUUCAGAAAUUUCUCAAACUUGUGAGAAAUACCAAAACCCUACCUGAAACGAAGUUGAUGAAGCGAGAUCUUCUUGCUCCUAAGCAAACUAGUAAUGGAUGACCCACUUCUCAAUGGACUCUUCGAUCAAGACCUUCCGACGAUAACCCACACACCACCUCUUCCUUAUAUGCCGAGAAGAAACCUUGUUUUCUUUCCAUUUCCUGGAAAAAAUCAAAAUCCCAAAAUAUUUUUCAACCAAACAAAUAGACUUAAGGGUUAGCAUGAACGAAAUUUCUAGGUCAUAAAUUGCAUAAUCACAUAAGAGAGUAGAAUCUAGAAAGGGCACUUAGCUGAAGAGAUGGAGCAAAAUUCUUUAAGAAUGAAAUUUAGGUCUCUGCUUCUAUUUUUUUCUGGUAAUUACUCCUUAAUAUCGACAAUGUCUUCCAAUAAUAGCAUUACAAUCAAAAUGGUAUAUCAUAACAAACC
rnacentral:lncRNA from 1 species